rnacentral:rRNA from 1 species
GUUAAAAAGCUCGUAGUCGGAUUUCAGGAUUAGUUGUCGCCCUAUUACUGGGUUGUACUUCUACCCUUCCUAACGAACAGCUAUCAUUUCGUUAAUUUGGUGUGGUAGUCUAUCGUUUCUUUUACUUUGAGAAAAUUAGAGUGUUCAAAGCAGGCUUCUGCCCGAAUAUUACUCUUGGAAUAAUACUAUAGGACCUUGGACUUAUUUGAUGGUGAGUAGGACUGAGGUAAUGAUUGAUAGGGACGGUUGGGGUCAUUCGUACUGUAAAGCGAGCGGUGAAAUGCUUGGACCUUUAUAUGACGACCUACUGCGAAAGCAUUUGACUAGGACGUUCCCGUUGAUCAAGAACGAAAGUUGGGGGAUCGAAGACGAUCAGAUACCGUCGUAGUCUCAACCAUAAACUAUGCCAGCUAGGGAUUGGAAGUCGAUCUUAUUUAUGACACUUUCAGCACCUUAUGAGAAAUCAAAGCAUUUGGGUUCCGGGGGGAGUAUGGUCGCAAGGCUGAAACUUAAAGGAAUUGACGGGAGGGCACCACCAGGAGUGGAGCCUGCGGCUUAAUUUGAUUCAACACGGGAAAACUUACCAGGUCCGGACAAAGUAAGGAUUGACAGAUUGAAAGCUCUUUCU